rnacentral:rRNA from 1 species
GGAAAAUUAAAACUUAAAUAAAUAGCUAAAAUUAUGUGGUGAAAAAUAUUUUUAUCGAAGUUUUGUUUUUCGGUUCUUUUUCUCUUAGAGAAAAAAUCUUAAUUCAAAUACUCCGUAGACUAAUGGAAACCACUCUUUUAUUUUAAGAGAGCUAACUCUUUUUCAUGAUUUAUAUCUAAUGAUGGGAGGAAUAAUGUAAGUUGGACAGUUUGGUUGGGGCGACCGCCUUUUAAAAAGUAACGAAGGUGAGCUUAAGGUGCAUAAAUAAUAUCAGCAGCCUGACUGCAAGGGAGACGUUCCGAGCAGACACUUGUUCCCGUCAAGAAGCCAUUGUUUGAUCCAAGCUUUGGGGUUCCCAUAAAGACUUAGAAAAAAAAAAACAAGUUUCUGGGACCGGAAAAAGUGGGGCUAUAAUGACCCGU